AUUGAACGCUGGCGGCAUGCUUUACACAUGCAAGUCGAACGGUAACAGGCCGCAAGGUGCUGACGAGUGGCGAACGGGUGAGUAAUGCAUCGGAACGUGCCCAGUCGUGGGGGAUAACGCAGCGAAAGCUGUGCUAAUACCGCAUACGAUCUGUGGAUGAAAGCGGGGGACCGAAAGGCCUCGCGCGAUUGGAGCGGCCGAUGUCAGAUUAGGUAGUUGGUGGGGUAAAGGCUCACCAAGCCGACGAUCUGUAGCUGGUCUGAGAGGACGACCAGCCACACUGGGACUGAGACACGGCCCAGACUCCUACUGGAGGCAGCAGUGGGGAAUUUUGGACAAUGGGCGCAAGCCUGAUCCAGCAAUACCGCGUGCAGGAAGAAGGCCUUCGGGUUGUAAACUGCUUUUGUACGGAGCGAAAAGGCUCUCUCUAAUACAGGGGGCUCAUGACGGUACCGUAAGAAUAAGCACCGGCUAACUACGUGCCAGCCGCCGCAGUAAAAC
rnacentral:rRNA from 1 species